GACGAACGCUGGCGGCGUGCUUAACACAUGCAAGUCGAACGAUGAAGCCUAGCUUGCUAGGUGGAUUAGUGGCGAACGGGUGAGUAAUACGUGAGUAACCUACCUUUAACUCUGGGAUAAGCCCGGGAAACUGGGUCUAAUACCGGAUACGACCAAUCUCCGCAUGGGGUGUUGGUGGAAAGCGUUAUGUAGUGGUUAUAGAUGGGCUCACGGCCUAUCAGCUUGUUGGUGAGGUAACGGCUCACCAAGGCGACGACGGGUAGCCGGCCUGAGAGGGUGACCGGCCACACUGGGACUGAGACACGGCCCAGACUCCUACGGGAGGCAGCAGUGGGGAAUAUUGCACAAUGGGCGCAAGCCUGAUGCAGCGACGCCGCGUGAGGGAUGACGGCCUUCGGGUUGUAAACCUCUGUUAGCAGGGAAGAAGAGAGAUUGACGGUACCUGCAGAGAAAGCGCCGGCUAACUACGUGCCAGCAGCCGCGGUAAUACGUAGGGCGCGAGCGUUGUCCGGAAUUAUUGGGCGUAAAGAGCUUGUAGGCGGUUUGUCGCGUCUGCUGUGAAGGCCGGGGCUUAACUCCGUGUAUUGCAGUGGGUACGGGCAGACUAGAGUGCAGUAGGGGAGACUGGAAUUCCUGGUGUAGCGGUGGAAUGCGCAGAUAUCAGGAGGAACACCGAUGGCGAAGGCAGGUCUCUGGGCUGUAACUGACGCUGAGAAGCGAAAGCAUGGGGAGCGAACAGGAUUAGAUACCCUGGUAGUCCAUGCCGUAAACGUUGGGCACUAGGUGUGGGGGACAUUCCACGUUUUCCGCGCCGUAGCUAACGCAUUAAGUGCCCCGCCUGGGGAGUACGGCCGCAAGGCUAAAACUCAAAGAAAUUGACGGGGGCCCGCACAAGCGGCGGAGCAUGCGGAUUAAUUCGAUGCAACGCGAAGAACCUUACCAAGGCUUGACAUAUACUGGACCGCAUCAGAGAUGGUGUUUCCCUUCGGGGCUGGUAUACAGGUGGUGCAUGGUUGUCGUCAGCUCGUGUCGUGAGAUGUUGGGUUAAGUCCCGCAACGAGCGCAACCCUCGUUCUAUGUUGCCAGCACGUUAUGGUGGGGACUCAUAGGAGACUGCCGGGGUCAACUCGGAGGAAGGUGGGGAUGACGUCAAAUCAUCAUGCCCCUUAUGUCUUGGGCUUCACGCAUGCUACAAUGGCCGGUACAGAGGGUUGCGAUACUGUGAGGUGGAGCUAAUCCCUAAAAGCCGGUCUUAGUUCGGAUUGGGGUCUGCAACUCGACCCCAUGAAGUCGGAGUCGCUAGUAAUCGCAGAUCAGCAACGCUGCGGUGAAUACGUUCCCGGGCCU
rnacentral:rRNA from 1 species